UGCCAGCCGCCGCGGUAAUACGUACUGGGCGAACGUUAUUCGGAAUUACUGGGCAUAAAGCGCACGUAGGCGGCGCGUCAAGUGCAUGGUGAAAGCCCACGGCUUACCCGUGGAACUGCUGUGCAUACUGGCGUGCUCGAGGACGGUAGGGGAGAGCGGAACUCUUGGUGGAGCGGUGAAAUGCGUAGAUAUCAAGAGGAACACCAAAGGCGAAGGCAGCUCUCUGGUCCGUUUCUGACGCUGAGGUGCGAAAGCCAGGGUAGCGAACGGGAUUAGAUA
rnacentral:rRNA from 1 species